ACGCACGCUGGCGGCGUGCUUAACCCAUGCAAGUCGAACGGAAAGGCCCUGCUUUUGUGGGGUGCUCGAGUGGCGAACGGGUGAGUAACACGUGAGUAACCUGCCCUUGACUUUGGGAUAACUUCAGGAAACUGGGGCUAAUACCGGAUAGGAGCUCCUGCUGCAUGGUGGGGGUUGGAAAGUUUCGGCGGUUGGGGAUGGACUCGCGGCUUAUCAGCUUGUUGGUGGGGUAGUGGCUUACCAAGGCUUUGACGGGUAGCCGGCCUGAGAGGGUGACCGGCCAAAUUGGGACUGAGAUACGGCCCAGACUCCUACGGGAGGCAGCAGUGGGGAAUAUUGCACAAUGGGCGGAAGCCUGAUGCAGCAACGCCGCGUGCGGGAUGACGGCCUUCGGGUUGUAAACCGCUUUCGCCUGUGACGAAGCGUGAGUGACGGUAAUGGGUAAAGAAGCACCGGCUAACUACGUG
rnacentral:rRNA from 1 species